GGGAGAAAAGGGGAGGGAGUCGGAGGCAGAGACAGGAGAGAGAGGGGGCGGAUUCUGAGGCCAUGGGGGGCCGCAAAGGCUUGAGGAGCCUAGGGCUCACCACCGCCCCAAGGAGCUGCACUCCUGCACCUGCGGAGGUGGUGACGAAGGAAGGGACCAGCGUAGGGGGAGGGGCGGGGAGAGCGCGGCGGAAGCCAGAGAGCGCCUUGACCCUGCGCUCAGUCGGUCAGUGAGCGCGGGCCAGCGGGAUGGAGCCUCAGUAUCUGCGCCCCGGGUUUGGAUCCCAGAGCACAGCCUGGGUGGAACCGGGGCUCCUGGUGUACCACCAUCAUUCCCAACACUCCAGUUCAGAAGAUGGGUGAGGAAAGUGGAAAGUCUAAUCAGUCAGCCGAUGACCAGUGGGAAAAAUGAGCUACAAGAUCACCUGAUCUUCAUCAGUGAGAAAGCUUUGCACAAGAGGUAUUUUUCAUUCUGUCAAACAUCAUGGUCAAUUUCUUGGGUCUAUGGUAUGGCCUACAAUUUAUUCUUAUUAAAUUUUAUGGUACUUGGAGACUGUAACUCCAGGGUGUCACUGUGCCCAACCUUUUCUCGAUAAACAUUCUCACAGGCUGAACUUGAAGUCAGAGCAGGAGUGAGCUGCGGACAUAGGCUAUUCUAUUUCUUUUAUAUGAAACUGAAAUCCUACCACUCAGGGAUUGAAGAGGAUGUGAUGUCUCAGCAUGUAUUAAUAGAGGCACUGACAUGUGACCAUUUGAGUGAGAUAUUAGUUGCUGUGAGGUUUUGAUUGAUUGUUUGCUUGCUUGAGUUCGUUGUUUGUUUGUUUGUUUGUAAAGCUUUGUAAUCAUCUGGCAGGUGUUGCUUGCUGAAGCUUGCUAUAUCACCAGGAAAGCUUGGUCCCAUUUGGUCCAUCCUGAUACAUGAUGGAAGGUCUUGGGCUCAUUAAUACUCUUCUCAGAUUUUGGGCCUUAUAAACAGAAUGUCCUCUGCAUUUCCUCUGGAUUCUAUUUCAAUUGUACUUUCUCAUUCUCCCUGCAAACACACCCUGAUUCUGUGUGCAUGCAUGUGUGUGUGUGUGUGUGUGUGUGUGUGUGUGUGUGUGUGUGCGCGACUCUCUCUAUAUUCUGGUCAUAAGGGUAUGUGCUAGGACCUGAGGAAUUGCCUGCCUUACACUCUGCUGACAAUGCCAAUGCUUAGGACUGGAAACCAUACUUCAAGCAACAAUGCACUUGCAUUAUGUGUUCAACUUGAUGAAAUAUUUGAGUUCUGUGGUGAAUUCACUAUGACCUCCUUAUGCUGGUUCAUUCUCCCAGAAAUGUAGAUUAUUUAGCUUGGCCAAAUUCAUAGGACUAGGCCAAGGAUCAAGAGUCCCUGUUUUGAAAAAAAAAAAAAAAAAAAAAAAAAAAAAGGAGAAAUGUCCUCAUAGUUUCUGGUAUACCCACACCCGUGCAAUAAACUACUGAGAGUUUAGAGACCUAGUCUGUCCCUCCAGGCCUAUGCGGGAGCUCAAAGAACCAGAACUCUAACCACCUCGAUACCCAGCCUCUGGAGACAUAUGGACAAAAGAGCAAGAUUAACAAGCUUAGAUGAUCCAGGUACAUAGGAGGUAGAAGGUAACAUACUGUGAGCUUGGAUAGUUCAGAAUCCAUCCUGGAUUCAGGUGACCCUUGAAGCCUGUGUUCUUGGGGCUCUUUGCUCUUGGGGCCAUGCCCAACCACAGAUCAAAUCUUUACUAUGAAAAAUUGAAAGUGGAGACUAAGCAGGUAAUGUUGGACCUGCAGAGCUUACAGAAUGUGUACACUGAGCCUCAGAGACAUUUGAAGGCCUAGCAAAGAGAAAGGCUGCUAUAGGUAACUGUCUGUCUUGCUUGGGAGCACAUGAGCUGUAGAAUUGCCAUCUCUGCAUUUGAUCCUGCACAGGAGACUCUGCAGCUCUGGUUCUAGCUUUCCGCCACUUCACACAGGAGCCUUUAGAUUUGCUGUUGUAAACCUGUGGGUUGAAACACUUGGUGGGGUGAGUGUCAAAGGACCCUUUCACAGAGGUUGUGUAUCAGACAAUCCUUUAUCUCAGACACUUCUAUUAUGGCUUAUAACAGUACAAAAAUUAUAGUAACCAAGUAGCAAUGAAAAUAAUCUUAUGUUUGGGAGGUCACUGCAUUAAAUCUUCCACAGCAUUUGGUAGAUUGAGAAACUCUGCUGUAGACAGAACUAUUUGUAUCAUGUGAGGUCUUCUUGACCCCCGGGGCUGAGUCAGGAUCUGUAGAGAGCUAGUUACCAGCAGACCCAUAUAUAGCAAGUGUUCCCCUUGUUUCUUUUUUUCCAAUUCAUAGUGCCUUUGCCCAUUCCUUCGUGAUGUUUCUCCAUUAGGAUUGACAGAUAGGGACAACUGUAGUCCACUUCUUCUUUUUAGGAAACAUGGAUCCCUCUUGGUGUUGCAACUUUUGGAAGUAGCAUGAGUGUUUCUGGAAUUUGUGUUCUGUAGUUUUUUUCUUCUGAGAGCAGCUCACCUAGAUGUCCUGGGUUCUUAUCUAGGUCUUCCUGAGAACCAGGGUCUGGUGGGGUUGAUGGUGUUUCUUUAUAAGUUAAUAGGAAAAGGAGAGCAGGGGAUUUCUAUGCAAACGGUGUUUGCAGAAACCUGCACAGCCACCUUCUGAUGGAACUGAAUCAGCUGAAGAAGAAGGUAGACAUGCUGAGGAGGCACAGGAAUAAGAAAGUGCUGGAAGAUGAGGCACUGGUGCAGCAGUACUUGUGGGACUUAAAGGGGCCCCAUAAGGACCAACAGGAAGAGACCAUUGACUUCCAGAGUCAGGAACAGCAGGUAGAGACAGGCAGCUUUGUCAGGCUAAUGGUUAGCUCCAUCUGCCCUUGUAAAUUCUAGACCAGCUCAUCCACCUACCUGUGCUUUCAUCCAUCAUCUUACUCAUCCACACUCCAAUUCAAGUACCUACCUCAUGACAGCCAAUUGUUCAGGUCUAUGUCCAAGCACAAAUAUUUCUAGGGAAUGAGCUUCUUGUGAGAAAGUGGAUUAUCAGCAAGCAAAUCCACCUCUGCUUAAUGCUUCAGCCCAAAGAUGAGUACAGUUCAAUAAUACACCACACACCUACAGGGUUCAGUGCACAGAGCUUUAAGUGAGUCAAGUCAGGGCUUGUGGCUUAUUUGCUUGGCAUCAGUCCUAUAAGUUCACAUGUGAGAAGCAGCUGCAAGGGUGGGGGCAAACCCUUUGCAAAUGCCAAAUGAGCAGUUCUUGACAUCAUCUUUUUUGGGGUGAUAUGUGGCAUUUCUCAUCUUUGCUGUCUACAUUUCAAGACAAUCUUUUUAAUCUGCCCAGGACAGACUCACACUGACAGAACUCUGACUAGCAGAGGGUUAGCCAUGUUUUUUGUGAAUGAGGCUGGAGUACUCUCCUUUUCUGUAGAUUGCAUUCUCCUGUUGACUGGAUGACUAUAGAUGUGGGUAGGGACUCUGACAGGCUAGGGACAUGGUGUCAGAGAUUUAAGAUUGCAAGAGGAAAUUUUAUGCAACCACUUCAGCAUAGUCUGGCCAAGAAAAACAUGCUCACCAUAGCAAUUGUAUCUUCCACCUUUUGUUUUGCAUAGUGUAAGAUACCGCUCAAAUUGCUGGUAUGCUAUAACUAAAGGAAUGUGUUCUUGCAGCACGAGGUGCUUUCUUUUUGGUAUUUUGCUCUCAUUUACAUCCUCUGUUUUUGGUGGAUAGGCUGCGGAUAUGUGUGUUUUUGUGUGUGUGUAUGUUUUCUUUUUUGUAUAGUA